UACGUAGGGCGCAAGCGUUGUCCGGAAUUAUUGGGCGUAAAGAGCUCGUAGGCGGUUUGUCACGUCGGGAGUGAAAACUCAGGGCUUAACCCUGAGCCUGCUUCCGAUACGGGCAGACUAGAGGUAUGCAGGGGAGAACGGAAUUCCUGGUGUAGCGGUGAAAUGCGCAGAUAUCAGGAGGAACACCGGUGGCGAAGGCAGAUCUCUGGGCCGUAACUGACGCUGAGGAGCGAAAGCAUGGGGAGCGAACAGG
rnacentral:rRNA from 1 species